UCUCCUGGAAAAGGGUGGUAAUGCCGGAUGCUCCAUCACACCGCAUGGUGUGUUGGGAAAGCCUUUGCGGCAUGGGAUGGGGUCGCGUCCUAUCAGCUUGAUGGCGGGGUAACGGCCCACCAUGGCUUCGACGGGUAGCCGGCCUGAGAGGGCGACCGGCCACAUUGGGACUGAGAUACGGCCCAGACUCCUACGGGAGGCAGCAGUGGGGAAUAUUGCACAAUGGGCGCAAGCCUGAUGCAGCGACGCCGCGUGAGGGAUGGAGGCCUUCGGGUUGUAAACCUCUUUUGUUAGGGAGCAAGGCAUUUUGUGUUGAGUGUACCUUUCGAAUAAGCACCGGCUAACUACGUGCCAGCAGCCGCGGUAAUACGUAGGGUGCAAGCGUUAUCCGGAAUUAUUGGGCGUAAAGGGCUCGUAGGCGGUUCGUCGCGUCCGGUGUGAAAGUCCAUCGCUUAACGGUGGAUCCGCGCCGGGUACGGGCGGGCUUGAGUGCGGUAGGGGAGACUGGAAUUCCCGGUGUAACGGUGGAAUGUGUAGAUAUCGGAAAAGAACACCA
rnacentral:rRNA from 1 species